CUUUUAAACUGCACAACAUUUAAACAAAAUCUUUUGGUAUUCUACAUCAGGUUUUCUGUUUACAUAGAACUAUCUCCAACUCUUCUUUAUCUUCUAUAGGUUUUUUAUUUCACCGGAUUUACUUCAUUACUUCUUUCUUCAAAACAGAUCUUUUCUCCCCUACACCCUAGAUUAUAAAGAGAAAUAAUUAAAGAUGGAGAGAGGGAAAUGAAAGGUUUUGAUGUCACAUAUUCAGUUUUUCUAGCUUAUAAUUUUAUUGAUACCCCUUAGAAUGUAGCUAGAGUCUCUUGAACAGUGAUUUGUCAGGCUUUGUUUGACAAGUGGCAAAAAGCCCUGUUUCUACCGAUGUCCAAAUAAAACCUCUUCCAGAAUCAAAUGGUUAGUGCUCUGAAUUGUCAUAUAGAAAAUGCACAGCCUCUAAAUAAUUUCAGAAUGUAUGUAGAUUCAAUGGGAAACAGGACAAGAAGGAAAUCAAAAGGGAUCUCAUCCCUGUUUGCUUUUUCCUUUUGACCCAUUUCGUGCUCCAUCUGAUCAUAUAAGUCAGUACAGCAGUGCAUCCUCUCUGCUCCCAUGCCAGCCUACACAUGGGAGUAGGCACUCAAGAAAUAGAUGCCUAGGCAGUUUGGACCCAAGGUGAAUCCCACACAGCAGACUCAGGUCUACUUUUAUCUUUGAACCAGUAAGACUGAAGUUUUUGUCAGUCACAUAACUAUUUUCCCCACACUCUGAGUUGCUGGAACUAGUGUGGCCUGGAGAACAAAUACAAAAAGGAAGAUUUGCUGCAAUGUUCACAAACUAAAGAAAAGCUGGUAUUAGUGUAAAUUCUGAACAGUACAUUUGCAGGAGGUUAGGCAAUUGCUGACUUCCUUGGAAAUAUGUCUGUAGUUCCUGUUUCACAAAUGUCCCACAGAAAAAGAAAUGCACUCAUAUUGGCCAAAGAGCCGGGGGGAAAGUGUGGGUCCUGCUUGGUUUAUGUUGAGCAUGGAAAGCUGUUUACAAGGAUAUAAACUGAAGAUGUUUCCAGUAAUGCUGCCCUCUCAGCUAGCAAUUGCAGAGCCCCAGACCUCACUGGAGCUCUCUUGCAGGAUCCUGCUUAAUGCGCUGGCCUAGCCACUUUCUAAGCUCUGUUUGUAAAUUCUCUGUUACAAUAUCAGGGGUGCACAGCAGACACUACAUUUUGAGAGGAAUACUGUUUUAUAAGCAAGACCAUAUCAUUGCUUCUGGUCAGUUUCUGGGCUCAUGUUUUAGAGCACUAGCUGAAGGAUGUCAGAAUAGAGCAACACUGCCUAUCAUUUCAUAUUAUGCCAAAAACAAACCCAUUGAUAUGAAAAAGGUCUGUGUACUCUGUGAACUAUUUUUUAGAGAUGUACCAUACACAGGCCUUCAAAAGGUCAAUAGAGGGGAGCAGGGGAGGCUGUUUACUUUGACCCUGUCUGAAUGAUAUUUUUUCUUAGGAAACCUUUUAUCCAACAACUUUUUCUGUGACCAUAAAGGAUAUUGUGAGUAUUGUAUGUUUGUAUUAAGGCAAUGAAUAGAGUUGCCCCAGUAUGUUUAUAAAGUGCUCAUCACUCAUCCUCUCUUCUCUAAAAUGCUUCUGUGUGAUUGAAGACAAGAUACAGAAAUGUUUGAUCCACUGCUAGUGAAGGGUUGACUGAAUAAGAAAAAAAAGUCAAGCAUACACAAAUAUAAAGUGCUCAGGGAGAUGGCUUUAUUCAUAUUAUAUUAAAUCCAUAUUUUGCUAUAAUUCUGGAGACUGUGACUUAUCAACAAAUGUGGAAUAUUUUCUUUUCUUGGUAAAAAUAACACUGGAAAAUUAAAUUACAUUCUUCUUCCUACUUCCUUGAAAGAAAUGUCAAUUUUUCUAUAACACAUUUCAGUCAUGCAUAACAUAUCUACCCAGUUAUUCCUAUCAAUAACCUUUCACAUAUUUGGGAUGGACCAUCAUGUCCUUCAAAGUUUCCUUCUAAAUGAUGAUCUCAUAAGCAGAAAAUCUCAUGUGUUCUGGUGUAUUCUGAUAUCAACACAUAGGAUAAGGAGCUAUUACCUGAAACCAACAGACAAGUACAACUUUUCUAUAUUUACUUAUCAAACUCUUUGCUCACCUAACAUGUUUCUAUGGUCUUAGACUGUGAGCUUUGUGAGACUUGGGCUGUUUCAUGCUACUCACUUGGCUCAUUGCAUUAUGGCUGAGUCCUGUUAGGGUUCUGAAACAAAGAGAAAUAGAGAUGGAGACAAAAGAAGUUGUUGCCUCUGCUGGCUGAACUUUGAUGUCAGAUAAGGACAAUUUCAGGAGAAAGAAUAAAGUGCUGGUAUGUUUCUGCACAGGUCCAACAACCUGACAGACUAUACAACCAUGAGUCCUCUACCAGGAGGACUUUCUUCACCUGUUGCUGCUGGGGCUAUAAUAUCCCAGCACUAAAGAAGGGAAACUGUUUACCGCCUCAAAGGACAAGAUAGAUUGUUGCUGUAUGAAGUCAAGAGGAUAACUCGGGCUGUGUUGGGUCAAGGCUGGAGUGGAUCUUCCUUCCUGAACUGGGUUUGGUGUGACCAAGAAAGCAGUGAUCUCUGAGGAGCAGGACAAGCCACCAUCUUCUCUCUUCUUGGGUUAAACCCUCACAAGGAUUUCUCUGAGAUUUUGGUACCAUCUAAAUUGAACUUCAGCCUUGAAAUUAUUCUGGGUUCAGAGUCCCAUGGCAGAUGUAAGAUCCUAACAGACAGCAGUCAACUGGAAACGAAAAAUGGCUCAAAAUGCUUGAUUAAAAUAUGUAUCACGGAAAUGCUGCAAAUAUGAACCUUGCCAUUGGAUUACUUAAUCAGACAGCCCAGAGAGGGUCAUUUUGCUUUGGAGAUAAACACAAGGUGGCAUGGCAUCUGAUGAGUUCAGACAUAUCUGCACAUAAUAAAAAGUGG